UUCCAUCUUCGGGGCAGGGUGCAAUUCCCGACCGACGGUAAGGAACUAGCGUUCUAAGUCCGUGACCCGCUUUGUUUUCGACUAAGCGGCUGAUCUGGUGAAAGUCCAGAACCGACAGUUACAGUCUGGAUGGGAGAAGAUGUCG
rnacentral:ncRNA from 2 species